UUUUUAUUCAGCACACCUCCACUGGAGGUUCUGCACUUUCUGGAGUCGGCUGGGCUGACAUCAUAUCUGGACCAAUUCUACAAUCACCACGUUGCUUCCUCCCAGCCACACCUUCAGACUUUGGAAAUGUUUAAUAUUUUGAUUUUUUUCCCCCUGUGAUCCGAUCCCAGGUUUGGGUACUAGCUUUAUCUAGCACUACACUCACAGUGUUUUCUCUUACAGUGCUGCUGUAAAUCACUCUGCCAGUUAACAGCACACGGUAUUUGGGGCAUACCUGUGUGUAAAAGUGACUCUCAUCCACGUGAUGCACAAUCCACACUGGAGUUGGUUUGGACAGCAGCAGGUCAUCCUGAUCACUCUGGUACGCCUGAGUUUAUAAGAGGGUGUUAUCCCAAGAAGUCUUCACAUUGUUCUGGGAGAGACACAGGGAAUAUCAUGAUGAUGAAACUGUGGGUAUAAAGAGGGGAAACACAGAGUUCAUAGAGAUUGGCUCAUCA
rnacentral:lncRNA from 1 species